rnacentral:snoRNA from 1 species
UUGCCUAAUGCAAUCAGUGUUCUACUCUUCUAUUAAAGAACCUGACUAUAUGGGCAGCAUGCUACAUACAGUAAAUGAGAAGGUAUUUUUAGGGCUCCUGACUUUUUAGUUGAGUUUAUGUGGCAGUAUAUUUCUUCUACAUUA